rnacentral:misc_RNA from 1 species
CCCGUAGGUGAACCUGCGGAAGGAUCAUUACCGAGUGCGGGCUGCCUCCGGGCGCCCAACCUCCCACCCGUGACUACCUAACACUGUUGCUUCGGCGGGGAGCCCCCCAGGGGCGAGCCGCCGGGGACCACUGAACUUCAUGCCUGAGAGUGAUGCAGUCUGAGCCUGAAUACAAAUCAGUCAAAACUUUCAACAAUGGAUCUCUUGGUUCCGGCAUCGAUGAAGAACGCAGCGAACUGCGAUAAGUAAUGUGAAUUGCAGAAUUCAGUGAAUCAUCGAGUCUUUGAACGCACAUUGCGCCCCCUGGCAUUCCGGGGGGCAUGCCUGUCCGAGCGUCAUUGCUGCCCUCAAGCCCGGCCUUGUGUGUUGGGUCGUCGUCCCCCCCGGGGGACGGGCCCGAAAGGCAGCGGCGGCACCGUGUCCGGUCCUCGAGCGUAUGGGGCUUUGUCACCCGCUCGAUUAGGGCCGGCCGGGCGCCAGCCGGCGUCUCCAACCUUAUUUUUCUCAGGUUGACCUCGGAUCAGGUAGGGAUACCCGCUGAACUUAAGCAUAUCAAUAAGCGGAGGAUUU